CCUACGGGAGGCAGCAGUGAGGAAUAUUGGUCAAUGGUCUGGAGACUGAACCAGCCAAGCCGCGUGAGGGAUGAAGGUACAGAGUAUCGUAAACCUCUUUUGUCAGGGAACAAAGGCGGGGACGCGUCCCCGGAUUAGUGUACCUGGAGAAAAAGCAUCGGCUAACUCCGUGCCAGCAGCCGCGGUAAUACGGAGGAUGCGAGCGUUAUCCGGAUUUAUUGGGUUUAAAGGGUGCGCAGGCGGGCCUUUAAGCCGGCGGUGAAAUCGCGGGGCUCAACCCCGCCGCGCCGUCGGAACUGGGGGCCUUGAGUGCGGGGGAGGCAUGCGGAAUGCGUGGUGUAGCGGUGAAAUGCAUAGAUAUCGCGCAGAACCCCGAUUGCGAAGGCAGCGUGCCGUGCCGCCACUGACGCUGAGGCACGAAAGCGCGGGGAUCGAACAGGAUUAGAUACCCGGGUAGUC
rnacentral:rRNA from 1 species